rnacentral:rRNA from 1 species
UACGUAGGGUGCAAGCGUUGUCCGGAAUUAUUGGGCGUAAAGAGCUCGUAGGCGGUUAGUCGCGUCUGCUGUGAAAACUCGGGGCUUAACUCCGGGCCUGCAGUGGGUACGGGCUGACUAGAGUGCGGUAGGGGAGACUGGAAUUCCUGGUGUAGCGGUGAAAUGCGCAGAUAUCGGGAGGAACACCGGUGGCGAAGGCGGGUCUCUGGGCCGAUACUGACGCUGAGGAGCGAAAGCGUGGGGAGCGAACAGG